UACGUAGGGUGCAAGCGUUGUCCGGAAUUAUUGGGCGUAAAGAGCUCGUAGGCGGUUUGUUGCGUCGGCUGUGAAAUCCCGAGGCUCAACCUCGGGUCUGCAGUCGAUACGAGCAAACUAGAGUGUUGCAGGGGAGACUGGAAUUCCUGGUGUAGCGGUGAAAUGCGCAGAUAUCAGGAGGAACACCUGGCGGCGAAGGCGGGUUGCUGGGCUGACACUGACGCUGAAGCGCGAAAGCUAGGGGAGCGAACGGG
rnacentral:rRNA from 1 species